UGCCCUUCUGCGAGCCGUGAGGACCUGUGGUGGGCUACGGUGGCGUGGUCGAGGUGCUGUGGUGGGCUACGGUGGCGUGGUCGAGGCGGUGCUCGUGUUGCUGGUGACGUCGUUCUGAGCGCCAUAUUGGGUGUCCUCGAUGGUGGUGGGUCUCCCAGACCCGAUACGUGCUGCUCCCGUCGGUGUGAUGUUGCCACAGUGUGGAGCUUGAACAUGCAACUUCUGCUGCCAGAUCCUUCCUUCCUUCCUUCAUCGAACAACUACACUGAGUCCAUUGAAUCAAGGAGAUUGAAAAUGUAAAAUCUGCUGCAAGAGCUCCUGCCUCUGACGACUACACUGAAUUAAUAU